rnacentral:pre_miRNA from 5 species
AAUGCAACUGCUAGAUCAUAUGGUGAGACUAUGUUUAGCUUUGUAAGAAACUGCCAGACUGUUUUCCAAAGUGGCUGUGCCAUUUUGUCUUCCCACCAGCAGU